GGGGGGGGGGGGGGGGGGGGGGGGGGGGGGGGGGGGGGGGGGGGGGGGGGGUCGGGGGGAGGGGCGGGCGCGCGGGUGGGGGAGGGGGGUGCGACCUACCCCUCACAUGGGGAGAGCACGAGGGCCGUUGGAGGGCUCCACCUGGGUAUGAUUCGCGGGCGCCACAUGAUAACUCACUCUGCCGGUGUGAAAGAGGGGCAUGCGUCCUAUUAGCUAGCUGGAGUGGUAACGGCACCCCAAGGCUACGAUAGGUAGGGGUGCUGAGAGGGAGAUCCCCCACACUGGUACUGAGACAGGGACCAGACUCCUACGGGAGGCAGCAGUGAGGAAUAUUGGUCAAUGGUCGGAAGACUGAACCAGCCAUGCCGCGUGCAGGAAGAAUGCCUUAUGGGUUGUAAACUGCUUUUAUAUGGGAAGAAUAAGGCGUACGGGUACGUUGAUGACGGUACCAUAUGAAUAAGCAUCGGCUAACUCCGUG
rnacentral:rRNA from 1 species